AUUAGUUAGGUCUCAGUGGAAAGUUUCAAAAUAGUGUUAGACCAUCUGCAACAGAGGUUCAAGAGGAGUCCAUAGCCCAAAUCCUUAAGAUUUUUGAAAUAUAAUAUUAAUAUUUGGGCCAAGAGUAUCACGGAUCAGUCCGUAAAUAGGGGUUUGAAGGAUUCCAUCCUUAGUGCAGGUGGCAUGUUGCCAUUGGUGGGGAAAGUAUUGGUCGCUAAUGAAAGGAACAAAGAGUUCGAUGUCGAUGUCGAGGAGAUGAAGAUCAUCUGGGUUCUCGCCAAGCUUUUGAGUUUCCGAUCGAAUUGCCGCCUCGUCGCCUCCGAUCCGAGGAAGAAGCAGGAGUGAUUGAGUAUAAUACUUUGUUAAAGUCUCUAAAGACUCGACGAGAUUCUUUGUGUUCAAAGCUGAGUGAGCUAUUGGAAGCUAAGGUUUGUGUCAGGCGAAACAGAGUCGUAGCAGCUUCGAAAGGAAGAAUUUGCCUCCUAUGGGCUAUACAGAAGUGAUUGAUGUUGAGAUUGUUGAGAACGUUGCGGCUAUGGAAGAGAGUAGUGAAAAGGAAGAGUCUUUAGACGACGCCAAUCCGAGAGACUCCUUGACCAUCUUGGUUACACGAAAGACUCCUUGACCAGUCUCUCUCUCUAUUUUUCUUUUUGUUCAAUUUGACACUGAACAGACCAAAGCAGCUGAAUGCUCUCUCCUUCCAAAUGGAUAACUCUGUUUUUGAGAAGAUGUCAACCGUAUCCAAGACUAAACCAAGAGACAAGAAGGUUGUGAAUGAUUCACACAAGGCACCAAGUAUAGGUGAAACUACUGGUGGUGCUUACAAUAUUCUUUUGGAGACCGUUGAGUCAACCGGUCCCUCAUCGCUUCACAACAAUGGCCGUUUCAGAAACAUUGAUGACUCGGAUUCAACCGGAGCCGACUGUGAUUCUGUCUCUAACAACGGUAGCUGUUGUAAUGGCAAGUGUGUGUGCAAUAGUUAUGAAUAUAUAGACAUAUCAAGAGUGAACUAAUUAGCUUCUUUUGUAUCAUCAACACUUAAGAACUCCUAAUCAAGUAACACCA